GCAGUUCUUAAUCGAUUAUAUCACAUGCCGAUUAUGAUAUGAUGGCGUAUGAUGAAUACACUUGUUAUAAUGAAUUAACGUUAGAAAGAACAAUCCUUUUUUAUUACCAUAUUCCGUUCAAAUGGAAACACUGACUACCGUAGCCGUCAAUUCCCCUAUGUAAAGUAAAUAUGUGUUCAUCAAUAUCUAGUGAUGCUUCCAAAAGUAAUAACACAUUCGCUAACCUCACGUUGAAACGCACAUCACACUUCUCCUCAGUAAAACACAAUGCAUACAACUUGUCGAACCGUGUUUCGCCUAAAAGUCUUCGUAUACCGUCCCCUUCAGUUGCUAGGAUUAUUACCAAUAUCCUUCGAUUCCAAGAGCAAGCGGUUUUUCCAAUCCCAAUGGAAUUUGUUAUUGUCUAUUGUGCAAACCAUUAUAGUUUCUUCGAUGCUUCCAGUUGCUUACUACAUUUUGGUCACAAUGGUCUACAACGAAACUUCGGGCCUUAGCAAUCUGAUGGUGAUCUUAGAAUUGAUCAUAGGCUACUUUCUAUUGGUUUCAUUCUGCGUAAAAAUGUUACUAAGAGGCAGUAAUGUUACAGAAAUAUUAAACAUUUUUGGGGGAAUUUUCUUCAAUGUUUGUGUUGAAUCAGAUUGCAUUGAUGAGAAUCUUCUGAGGACAUACCUACGGAAGGUUAUCCUAGUGGAUUACAUAUUAUUCCCGAUCACUUUUGGCAUGUAUAUCCCUUUCAGUAUAGGGUGGAAAUUAAGCCACCUUAUCUCGUGGUUGCUGAAUAGCUACUCCAUAUUUCUCAUGUUGAUGAUUAUCAAUUUGUUUCAAUCCACCAUUAUUUCAAGUUCGAUAAUCUAUCUAAAGCUCAACAAUAGAGUGACAUCGGCAGUGCAAACGCUUCGCAAGCUCAACGAAAAUCAGAUCACCAUUUCUGGAAGUUAUCUACCCAAAGUGAAAACAUAUCGCAACUUGAGCUUGGAAAUCAAUAAACUUUGCUAUCUACACCGGAUGACAACGGAAGCUGUUCAACGGAUGAUCGGAAUUUUGAGUAUGCCCUUGCUGAUAAUUACAUUUUUCCAGUUCUUCGUCGUAUUGACCGAAGUUGUGUUUCUUGUAAUGCAAAGGAAAAAACAGUUGCAUAUUGUGGAUUUUUUUUGCAGGCUUACUACAACUACAUUUAUUUGAUGAACAAUAUGUUUAUCCCAAGUUUCAUAUAUGGGCAGAUACUUUCUUCAACAUUGUUCAUGCUAAUGUGCUUGCUGCAGUUCUACUAUACAGUAUCGUUCAGUGCUCAAAUGACUCAAAGAGCUGAAGCGACGGCCAUUCUACUGAAUGAAUCCUUUUAUAACGAUGCCGGCCGUUGUGUUGAACAGAGCAUUGAAAUGUUUACGCUGGAAAUGCUACAUCGAGAUUAUCGUGUCCGGAUAUACGACUGCUUUGCGUUGGAUUUCACACUUGCUCAUUCGGCUGCAGCAACCAUGACGACUUACCUCAUAUUGCUGGUACAAUUUGGAUUGAACAAUUACUGACUUGUGAGAGGUGAUUACAUAGCAGCAAAUAGUACAAACGAAAAAACAUAGUGAUUUG